rnacentral:rRNA from 1 species
UACGUAGGGUGCGAGCGUUGUCCGGAAUCACUGGGCGUAAAGGGUGCGUAGGCUGCGCGGAAAGUUGGGUGUGAAAUCCCUCGGCUCAACCGAGGAACUGCGCUCAAAACUACCGUGCUCGAGGGAGACAGAGGUGAGCGGAACUUAGGGUGGAGCGGUGAAAUGCGUUGAUAUCCUAAGGAACACCCGUGGCGAAAGCGGCUCACUGGGUCUCUUCUGACGCUGAGGCACGAAAGCUAGGGUAGCGAACGGG